rnacentral:rRNA from 1 species
GAUGAACGCUGGCGGCGUGCCUAAUACAUGCAAGUCGAGCGAACAGAUGAGGAGCUUGCUCCUCUGACGUUAGCGGCGGACGGGUGAGUAACACGUGGAUAACCUACCUAUAAGACUGGGAUAACUUCGGGAAACCGGAGCUAAUACCGGAUAAUAUAUUGAACCGCAUGGUUCAAUAGUGAAAGACGGUUUUGCUGUCACUUAUAGAUGGAUCCGCGCCGCAUUAGCUAGUUGGUAAGGUAACGGCUUACCAAGGCAACGAUGCGUAGCCGACCUGAGAGGGUGAUCGGCCACACUGGAACUGAGACACGGUCCAGACUCCUACGGGAGGCAGCAGUAGGGAAUCUUCCGCAAUGGGCGAAAUCUUGACGGAGCAACGCCGCGUGAGUGAGGAAGUUCUUCGGAUCGUAAAACUCUGUUAUUAGGGAAGAACAAAUGUGUAAUUAACUAUGCACGUCUUGACGGUACCUAAUCAGAAAGCCACGGCUAACUACGUG